rnacentral:rRNA from 1 species
CCUACGGGAGGCAGCAGUGAGGAAUAUUGGUCAAUGGGCGUGAGGCUGAACCAGCCAAGUCGCGUGAAGGAUGAAGGAUCUAUGGUUUGUAAACUUCUUUUAUAGGGGACUAAAGGUAUGCACGUGUUGCUAUUUGCAUGUACCCUAUGAAUAAGCAUCGGCUAACUCCGUGCCAGCAGCCGCGGUAAUACGGAGGAUGCGAGCGUUAUCCGGAUUUAUUGGGUUUAAAGGGUGCGUAGGUUGUUAUUUAAGUCAGCGGUGAAAGUUUGUGGCUCAACCAUAAAAUUGCCGUUGAAACUGGAAGACUUGAGUGUGUUUGAGGUAGGCGGAAUGCGUGGUGUAGCGGUGAAAUGCAUAGAUAUCACGCAGAACUCCGAUUGCGAAGGCAGCUUACUAAGCCAUAACUGACACUGAAGCACGAAAGCGUGGGGAUCAAACAGGAUUAGAUACCCUUGUAGUC